rnacentral:rRNA from 1 species
GAUGAACGCUGGCGGCGUGCUUAACACAUGCAAGUCGAACGGAAAGGCCCGGCUUUGGUCUGGUGCUCGAGUGGCGAACGGGUGAGUAACACGUGAGUAAUCUGCCCCUGACUUUGGGAUAACCUCUGGAAACUGGGGCUAAUACCGGAUACGAGCUGCGGCUGCAUGGUGGGCGUCGGAAAAGUACGGCGGUUGGGGAUGGACUCGCGGCUUAUCAGCUUGUUGGUGGGGUAGUGGCUUACCAAGGCGUCGACGGGUAGCCGGCCUGAGAGGGUGACCGGCCACAUUGGGACUGAGAUACGGCCCAGACUCCUACGGGAGGCAGCAGUGGGGAAUAUUGCACAAUGGGCGGAAGCCUGAUGCAGCAACGCCGCGUGCGGGAUGACGGCCUUCGGGUUGUAAACCUCUUUUAGCUGUGACGAAGCGUGAGUGACGGUAAUGGGAAAAGAAGCACCGGCUAACUACGUG